UAUGCAAGAUAAUACUUUUACUUAAAGGAUAGUUCAGCCAAAAAUGAAAAUCCUGUAAUCAUUUACUCACCCUUCAGUUGCUCCAGACCAGACCCCUGUGCAGGAUAAAGCUGAAUGUGGCAGCGCUGGACAGGUGUUUAAUGGUUUUGUUCUGAGCAGGGAGACCCUGACUGUGCUGCUGGAUCUACUGGGAAGUGAACGGCAACAUGGAUGGUGUGUCAUGAUCCAGACCCUGGUGUUUCUCUUCUGUCUGCCAGCAGUACAUCAUACAGAUGGUCUCCAGAGUGUUUGACAUGUGCCUCUACCACUGUCACCACACUGUCCUCCGAGUCUCUGAGGAGGUGCUGGCCAUUCACCAAGAGAUUGACCUCCUGAAGACCCCAGAACACACGGAGACAGGGCCGGGCUCAAACUGAUGCUGUUUACUGAUGUUAAACCUAAGAUAUGUUGUAAAUGGUUGUAAAAAGUACUUUCUAUUAUGUAUAGAACAAUUUGUUUUAAUGUGUAAAAAAGUAUUUACAGGACAAACAAAUAAACAUAUAAAAGAAUGUUUUGUGAAAAAAAAUAUAAGCUGCAUUAAAAAAAAUUAAUGUACAUAAGCACUUUUUAUUUACACAUGUGAAUAUGCAAAACAAAAAUACAAAAUGUACAGAAAGUACUCAGGCUUAUUUACGAAUAAAUUACACACAAAAAAUGAAUAAUGUAUACAAUUUAUGCAUUUCAUUUUUAACUUGCAUCACAAAAAUAAACUACAGAAAUUAGGUUGUUUCAUUGACAAUAUGACAUUUAAAAAAUAUAUUGGAAAAACUGUAAUGUACUUAUUUUUUUCUCUUGGCUAAUGAAGAAUGUAUUUGUUUGAGUUUGAUGUCCUCUGUCCACUCGCUCCCUCACCUGUCUCAGGACACUUCACAAAUAAACCUUGCCUGUUAACAACAAAAACACAUGCUCACUUUCUCCAGAAUAGUAUUAAAACAAAAGAAAAUGGAAACACUUAUGAAAGAAUACAGGUUUGCAAUCUUAACAUUAGAAAAUAUGACACAGCAGGACAUUCAUACAAAAUACUGAAGUGCUAAAGUUUGGUUAAAACAUUUGUAGACAUUUCCUGCAUGACAGCACUUUAAAAACACAACAAAGGGAAAGACCAUUGCCUUAUAUAGUGGCUGUCUUAUUGUUUGUGGGCUUUAUGUUAAAAAAAAAAAAAAAAUAACCUUGCCUUUAAACACUUUUGCUAGGCAUUUGAGUAAAUGAAAACACAAUACUUACAUUUCAAUGUGAAGUCCUCCACAGAACUCUCACCUGCCUCUGAAUAUAAACACAUUCGUCAUAUGCACGCAAGUUAUUCUGGGAUAUGGAAGGGUGCGAAGUGUCCAUAAGAUGUACACUUCAUUUUCCUGGGAAAUGAAGGGCGCAUUUGAAGUCGCUUUCGAAAUUCGUCAGCCUUCGUCGCGCCGCGGUGACGCAUUCGCACUUCAAAUGCGGUCUUCGAAGUGCGCAUUCUGACUUUGGGACAGCUUACGUCGUGACGCUGUGACGCAAUCGCACUUCACAUCCGCACUUCGGAGUUCACACACUUCAGUUUGGGACACCCUUCGUCGCGCCACUGUGACGCAUUCGCACUUCAAAUGCGCACUUCGGAGUCCAUGCACUUAAGUUUGG
ensembl:lncRNA